rnacentral:misc_RNA from 1 species
GAUGAAGAACGUAGCGAAAUGCGAUAGGUAAUGUGAAUUGCAGAAUUCAGUGAAUCAUCGAAUCUUUGAACGCAUCUUGCGCUCCUUGGUAUUCCAUGGAGCAUGCCUGUUUGAGUGUCACGUAAACCCUCACCCUUGCGAUGUCAAAGUCGCCUGUGGUGGAUUUGGACUGUGCCGUAAUUGGCUCGUCCUGAAAUGCAUUAGCUUGCGCUUUUUAGAGUGCUCGGCAUGGUGUGAUAAUUAUCUGCGCCGUCGCCGUAGGCCUCUUCUGUGUGCGUAGCUUCCAAUCGUCCCUCGUGGACAACAUAUUUUAAAGCUUUGGCCUCAAAUCAGGUAGGACUACCCGCUGAACUUAAGCAUAUCAAUAAGCGGAGGA